rnacentral:miRNA from 1 species
UGCAGUCCAUGGGCAUAUAC